GUUGAUGUGGCUUAGUGGUUAAGGCUUUGAGUUAUAAAUCAGAGGAUUGUAUGUUCAACUCCCAGCACCAACA